AUUGAACGCUGGCGGCAUGCCUUACACAUGCAAGUCGAACGGCAGCACGGGGGCAACCCUGGUGGCGAGUGGCGAACGGGUGAGUAAUGCAUCGGAACGUGCCCAGUAGUGGGGGAUGACCAGUCGAAAGACUGGCUAAUACCGCAUACGACCCAAGGGUGAAAGCGGGGGACCGUAAGGCCUCGCGCUAUUGGAGCGGCCGAUGUCUGAUUAGCUAGUUGGCGGGGUAAGAGCCCACCAAGGCGACGAUCAGUAGCUGGUCUGAGAGGACGACCAGCCACACUGGGACUGAGACACGGCCCAGACUCCUACGGGAGGCAGCAGUGGGGAAUAUUGGACAAUGGGCGGAAGCCUGAUCCAGCCAUGCCGCGUGUGUGAAGAAGGCCUUUUGGUUGUAAAGCACUUUAAGCGAGGAGGAGGCUCUUAAGGUUAAUACCCUUGAUGAGUGGACGUUACUCGCAGAAUAAGCACCGGCUAACUCUGUGCCAGCAGCCGCCGCAGUAA
rnacentral:rRNA from 1 species